CGUAAAGUAGGAGAAUGAGCAGGAAGGGCCUGCAAGGAGCAGGAAGGAGCAGAAAGGGACAGCAAGGAGCACAAAGGUAAAGUAGAAAAGGGAGCAGAAAGGGUCUGCAAGGAGCAGAAAGGGAUCAGAAUGAGAAAGGAGCAGAAGGGCGCAAAAUAAGCAGAAAGUAGCAGAAAGGUAAAAGAGCAGAAGGGGCCAAGGAUAGAAAACAGUGUCAGAAGAAAAAAAAAGACUGUCAAAU